CGCCCCUGUAUUUCCCCCAGCCAUGGGGAGGCCUGGAGUCAAACCGGGAGCGGGAGGAGGGCGCGCACGGUGCUCAGCGAUCCUUCGCAGCCGAAGGAGGAGAAGUCCACCGCAAACGCUGCCCGUUCCCGUUCCCACUUCCCGGGUGCCAUCUGCCCGAGCCGGGGCUGGGGCCGAGGCUGAAGAGGGGCUGGUGAGCGAGGGGUAGUCGCUGCCCCUCUCCGUCCCUCCCCAGCGCAAGGCCGGCACAACCCCGUGUUUUCGGGGCGGUUUCAGAGCGAGAACGAGCGAACCCGGACGCUGCCGGGAUAAACAACAGGAUCGCGUUGCAUCGGGAAGGGCGGGGGGAAACGAGACCAGGGCGAGCGCUGGAUCUGGCAGCGGUCCGGCCUGGGAAGGUGCGAAUUUGCGGUCGAAUUUUAAGCCUUAGCAGUCGGAACGAGAGAAUGCAAGAGAUACCUCGAGCUACGUGUUUGUCAAAAAGAAUUACAAGGAAAUGCCACCCUUCUGCAUAUUGCUUCCAGUUAUCAGAGGAGAAUCGCAGAACUAUUCAAAUAGGAAAAGACUUUUAAGAUCACCGAGUCCAACCAUAAACCCAGCACUGCCAAGUCCACCACUAAACCAUGUUCCUAAGCGCCACAUCCACACAUCUUUCAAAUGCCUCCAUGGAUGGUGGCUCCACCGCUUCCCUGGACAGCCUGUUCCAGUGCUUGACGACCCUUUCGGUGAAGAAACGAUAGCGUGGCACUAACGGUGAAGAGAGCGAGCUGCGUUCCUUACUUCCACCUGCGCUGCAGACACGAAAGAGAUAGAUACGCAGAGAAAACUUGCUGUUAUUUCUUGACGGAACCUUAUUUCUUCCUGUGCCAGGCCGAGGGAGGUUGAAACACACACUAACGAAGACCAUAUUUCUUAUAUAUGGCAGUUUUCUUUAUUGAUUGCUUGAUGUGAAACAGUAUCAAUCUGGAUUUUUUUUCCCACACAUUACAAAAAAAAAAGAAAAAAAAAGAAAAAAAAAAGAAAAAAAAAGGAAUUAAAUUGGCUCAGUCUGCAAUCCUUUAAGCACAGCCAUAGUCUGUAUCAGAAAAAGGAUCCCCCCCAAAAAAAUAAACAAAAAAAAAAACCACCUGAAAGUCUACCAAAUAGAGCAUUUACAAAUGCACAAAAACAUGCCACUUUGGCUUUAUGGGGAAAAAUAUUGUCUUCUAGAUUAAAAAAAAAAAUCUUUUAACAUAAAUAAGUUAGUAUAAUUUCUCAGUGUCUUUACAGAGUUAUGUACACAGGUACACUUCAAACUUUUUUUGUUUUAUUUUUACAUACAGGUACACAGGCAAUGUAGAAAUACUGUUUAAAGAUGUAGUAUCCCUUUUCCCUCACACACAAACACUUUGGGAAGUGGGUCAGAUCAGAAAACAACAAUAUCCAGGAUUCAGAGGUAAAGCCCUCCAGAUAAGGGUUUUUAAAAACAAAACAAAACAAA